CUUGCUGGUUUUUGGCCUCCUGGGGAAAGCGCAGCUCCUAUGGGGAUGUGCAUUGUGCAGCCCCAGCUGAAAGACAAAUGCUGUGCCUGUGCCAGGCUGCUGAUGGGAGAGCAGGACAUCCAGUUGUGUAAUGCCUUCAGUGGAUGGCUGUGACUCAGUGGAUCCCUCCAGUAACUAUUAGGAAAGUAUUUCCUUUCUCAGCUAUAAGCUUAUGUGCUCUCGUUCCGGUUUCCCAAGAGAACUGUGGUAUGAAAUCCCAGUGGCCUGGAUCGAUGAGAAAUUACAAUGUCCUUUUUUGGAUCCAGCAGCUAAUUGGAAAGAAGACAUCGAAUUACGGGCCAGUGCAAGAAGCUUGCUUUAGGUUGGGUUAUGUGCUGUGCAGGAGGAUUCUCUUCUCAAGUCUCCCUUCUCAAGUCUCAUGCUCUGAGAGAUGUGAAUGGAAGUCUAGGAAGUGUCUGCAUGGAGGCAAACCCACCGACCACACACCAGCCUGCAGGGCUCUGCCUGCCCAGUGGGACCCACAGCGUUGGUGGUGGGAGCUCAGCAAACCAGCACCUGAAAUUACUGGCUGCAUGGUGUGGGUGGGCUUUCCUUGCCCUGUUUGCCAUAACUUUGGAUUCUGCUGCCAAGAAGGUGGUCAAGAUAAGCUCCAGUGGAAGACUGCUGUAUUAGCAUUGCAUGUCUGUAUGCUCUGCUUUAGAGUUAUUUUCCUGGUGUUUCUAAGGUAUCCUGUGUUGAGAAAAGUCUCUCCCCUACAUGCUGCCCAUGGCAAUGACGUGUAUUAAAAAUCUCUUUUCUCAAGUUAUUUGUCUAAUUUUUAGCUUUCUAAUGACUAAACAAGUGUAACAAAGCUGAUUAGAUUCAGUCAUUUACAAAGAGACUCUUCAUUAUGACAUAAAGUUCUUCCAUGUUGCUGCUGCUUCAUGUUUCUGGCUAAGAAUGAAGGAUGUGCGAGUGCAGAAGAUGGGAAGAAGUGCAGCCUCCCCAGGAGGAGGGGAAAUGCCAAUCAGCAUGGAAAUAACCCUGCAGGCAGAAACGAGGGGAAAGCUGAGAGACAGACUGGUGUGGUUGAGGAUUUGGUGGUGGGGAUUUGGGACAUAAGUCCUGGAUAACCUGACACUAACCUGAGCCUUGUGCUCUCUUUAAAGUCACUGUAUGAGAUCGGUGCCUUUAUUGUCACCCUGUCAGUUCUUUAAUUGCAGAUUCCUGGAAGGAAGGCGUGCAAACUGAAAGCAGAUUUUAAUGCCAUUGGUUUUCCUGUUUUGAAACUUCCCAUGCAUCUCUGUGAGUUUUGCAGCUGCCUUGUGAUAUUCCAGUUAUGCAGCUGGUUCUAAAACAAGAGAUGGGGCUGCUUAGCUUGGGGAGGUGCUGGAAAGUGCUGGCACUCUGUUCUGCAGUGCUCCCUCAGCAUCAAAUAGUGUAUGCAGAUGUGAAGGCAAGAAAAGGCAUUCCCCUCAUUCAAGCAGGCUCAGUGUUUCUUAGAUUAGAUAACAGGUAAUUCUUUUUUGUUUUCAACCCGAAGUUAUCAGUUGAACCAAAAAAAAAAAAAAAAAGCAGUUCUUUGUGAUGAAUAAGCUAAAAACCACUGUGAUUCAUCACGUUUCUCUGAAACCCUGAUCCCUACCCUCAGGCAGGGAGCAAUCCCGCAGAAUGCCUCGGUCUGCAUUGAGGAAUUUUGUUUUUGAAUGCCUGGGUCAUGGGGGGGGGGGGGAAUGCUCAGCCUUCCUUGGGCUUCUGUCAGUGUUGCUUUCCUACGUAGGCGUUGCUGGGCUGGGGAUGUUGUGUUUGUUCCUGUGCUUUCACCUGAGUUUUUAGGUUGGGUGGUUUUUAGCUUCUGUCACAGGUCUGGACAAUUAAAUGUGCAGUUUCGUAUGAAGCUCGCUCUGGAGGCCCAAAGUGAGAUCUUUUCCCUGUAUCCUCUGCACUUCACAUUGAGGUGAUGCUGAAGCUUCUUAAAAAGCCCCGUUCAGCAAGGAGGGAUUUCAGCUGCAGGUACAGCACAGCGCUGGCCCCAGCUGCCAAAACCACGCUCAGGGGCUGAUGCACUCAUUCCCAGCUUUUAACAGAAUUGUAUCAAAAUAUCUGAACGUAGUAAAUGCAGUCAUUUGAAUCUUGGAACAAGUUGACCUUGUAAAAUAAGAACAGGAACGUGCUUGAGUGUUGGGAGGCAGGAUUAGCAUCGAAGUACCUGCUCAGGAAUUGUACAUAUUGCUUAUUGAAGGGACUUUGCUUUGUCUAUAAAUGAUUCCUGUAUUUCACUGUAAAGCAGAAGAGCUCUGUUUUCACUUGCUUUUACUGUAACAUCCCUAAAUAUGUGCUUCUAUCUUUGCAAAACCAUGAAGCACUCAGCAUGUCCCAAAACUAGUCUUGUACACUGGUUUGUAUCAGACUGCUCGGGUCAGUUCUAGCACGCCGUUAUUUGUGCAGUGGUUCUGCAGAUCUGAGGUGCCUCUUGAUCGGAGCUGGAGGCUGGAGCUUUAUUCUGGGGAGGGUGUUUGGAUCUGUUGGUUAAGGAGGAGUGAUGAGCUGCUGGAAAGGCUGAUGCCCUGUGUCUGGGAGACUCAACACUCGCUAUCUGGCAGCAGCAGCUCCUCAGCAGUGGUUCUCCAACGAUUCCAUCCUUUGUGCUGUGAAUGCUUCAUGCUUGGAAUGUGCAAUCAAACUGAAAACAGAGCUGUGUGGUGAUGUGUGCUUACAUGGUGGCAGCGCUCCUUUCUUCCCCACCUGACCUGUUUGCCAUAACAAUGUAUAGGAGCUGCACAAAGUACCUCCUGCAGCACUGUUAUUUGCAUUUUAUU